rnacentral:rRNA from 1 species
GUCAGCAGGCGCGAAUAGUCUACAAUGGACGAAAGUCUGAUAGUGCGACGCCGUGUGUGCGAUUAAUUCCUUCGGGAUGUAAAGCACUUUUCUAUGAGAUAAAAGCUCUUUAGGUUAAUAGCUUAUUGAGACGGAUAUUAUUAUAGGAAUAAGCUCCGGCUAACUCCGUGCCAGCAGGCCGCGGUUAAUACGGAAGGAGCGAGCGUUGUCCGGAUUUACUAGGCGUAAAGGGCUAGUAGGCGACUAAGUUAAGGUUAUAUGUUAAAUCCCACGGCUCAACUGUGGUCCUGCAUGUAAUACUGGUUAGAUAGA